rnacentral:rRNA from 1 species
GGGUUGUGAGGUUAAGCGACUAAGCGUACACGGUGGAUGCCCUGGCAGUCAGAGGCGAUGAAGGGCGUGCUAAUCUGCGAUAAGCGCCGGUAAGGUGAUAUGAACCGUUAUAACCGGCGAUACCCGAAUGGGGAAACCCAGUGUGAUUCGUCACACUAUCAUUAACUGAAUCCAUAGGUUAAUGAGGCGAACCGGGGGAACUGAAACAUCUAAGUACCCCGAGGAAAAGAAAUCAACCGAGAUUCCCCCAGUAGCGGCGAGCGAACGGGGAGGAGCCCAGAGCCUGAAUCAGCAUGUGUGUUAGUGGAAGCGUCUGGAAAGGCGCGCGAUACAGGGUGACAGCCCCGUACACAAAAGCGCAUGUGCUGUGAGCUCGAUGAGUAGGGCGGGACACGUGGUAUCCUGUCUGAAUAUGGGGGGACCAUCCUCCAAGGCUAAAUACUCCUGACUGACCGAUAGUGAACCAGUACCGUGAGGGAAAGGCGAAAAGAACCCCGGCGAGGGGAGUGAAAAAGAACCUGAAACCGUGUACGUACAAGCAGUGGGAGCACAGGUUUACCUGUGUGACUGCGUACCUUUUGUAUAA